rnacentral:lncRNA from 1 species
GAGCAAAAAUUGAAUUGACCUUAGAUGAAUGCAAUGAGAAAAACAACAAGGGAAACAUAAACAUACACGACGCAGGAAUAUGGAUGUCCAGGAAAAUCAACAGCAAACAGAGUUAAAAUCGAAACACGUCGUAAGAGAAACUUGGGAGCAAAUAAACUCAUGAUACAAUUCAACGGAAGAAACAAAAAGUACAAGCACUACACAACAUGCAGUCAUUGACUCAGAUCAAGGCCUGAGAACAAAAUCAAACUUCAAUAUAUACAAGCAUGAGGAAAGAAGAAUGGAGUUCUAGGGCUCGAUGAUUUCAUUUCCAUACACAAUUUUUAGCUUCAAUAACGAUCACAUACACAACUCAGUUCAGCAGUCAGAGUCCACCCUGUUUAAGGAUAGAUCCUAUCCAUGCAGCUGAGGAAGUGAUGGUCAAGACAGGAUAAUUAAACAUCAAUAUAUCGAGCAGUGAAUCAUUCGUUCAAGAGUUGCUAAAACCAGGAUAUAUGGGUAGGUACUGUUAAGGAAUAACAUCAAAGAUGCACAAGAAAUAACAUCAAAGAGGAAAACAAGGACCUAAGAUUUCUUGGGUAAUCAGAUAAGACAGUUUCACUGACAUAGAGAACAUUUUCCUCAA